CUCCUCCAGCAGCACAAUGUGAUCCACUGGCAAGGAGGGACGCCAAUAAGGCGUCUGAUAAGACUGCUCCUGUCUUCUGCCUGCACCAGAAAAGCUUCUCUUUACAAUGACAAUGAUUCACACUGAACCUCACACUGUUGCAAAUGUGUAGAAUAAAUGACUAUCAAGUGUUCAGCCCUAAUUAGGAAAGCUAUAUCAUGACUUCCUCCAAGGACCAGGGGACAAAAGAAAAGUAAACAGCCAAGCAAAUAAAACAAGAUAUGAAAAAACUAGCUUGGAAGAAUAAGGGAACCAACAACAGUGGGGAGAGAAGAGAGAGUUAACAGGGAUGACUAUGGUCACAGCAUAUUGUUUUUGUGGAUGUCAAGUCAAAGAAUUUUUGAAAGAAUCUUGGCCAGCAGUACUUUAUUCAACAACUAAUAAGAUAAACAUACACAGAAGGACUUGCCCCAUCAAAAGAACAUGUAGCUUAUUAGUGUAUUACAAGUAGUUGCUUUCUUUUCAUAAAAGUCUCAAGAAUUGCUGCUAUGGGACACAAAAUGGGAGUCAGUAGUAACACUCAUAUGUGUCACUGAACAUACUGUCUGCUCAGCUGAAGCCUGGUGGAGAAAUGCAUGGCUGUGAACCUGAAGAAAAUGUACUUUUAACUAUGAAAACCUUCAAAUGGCCAUACUAUCAAAAGAGAAAAAGCCAUGUUAAUUCACUAAGCAAUGCAGAUGGAUAAAUGCUUACCUGUAUUUGACAUGGAGUAUUCUGAUGGACAGAAUUUCUGGAAGAAGAGUUGGAAGUAGAUCCCUGCACAGAGAAAGAGACAAGCUGGGGACAAGUCUAUUGGGGCUUCUGUGAGGCUUGGAUAGCCAGACACCUUGGAGAACAAGAAGACAAAGUGCUUGAGCAGCUGUUUUUUAAGCUUGAGGGAACACUGGCUGACAUACCGAACACCAGAUCCAGAGCCAGCAAGUGGUAUAUAUAAACCUGGAGAUGGCCCAGCAGUCCACACACCACUGAACACUGUAGAAGCCCCUUGAAGCUGGAGCUGUGCCUAAUGUUGCUCUCCAGCAAGCAUUUGCUGCUGGCCCAGUGCCUGGACCAGAGGCCACAACAUUGUGUAUUUUCUCUAUCUCCCUGUCGAGCAAGACAGCUUCAUCCAGACUGUGAAGGGAUAUCAAAUUGUUUAUGAAAAGCCAGCAUGAAAUAUUGUUUUCAAACAAAUUUAUGAUUUCACACCAACUUAAGAAAGAUUUAGUUCAUUUUGCUGAUUGACACAUAAUUUUCCAUUUACAUAUAUAAUAAUAACAAAAUCUGGAGGGGAGAAAGUAGGAAUUAAAGGAAUAUAUCCACAUUCUGGUAUAAAUUUGCUAAUAAAGUUGGUCCCCUCCCAGCUCUGAUUCUGCUGGGAGCAGGAGGAAUACAAAUUACGUGCAAGAUUGCCUAUUGCAAUGAAUUCUCCAUGCUCUGUACACUUUGGAUCUUCUGAUAUCCACAUCCCUUUUCUUGUCCUUUGUUUGGUCCAUAAUCCCCUCUCUUCUCCCUCCUUCGUUCUUCAAUCAAGACUCAUUACGUGUCUACUGGACACACCCAUGGUGUUGUCUACUCUGAAUAUUUCCUUCUAUUUUUGAGCACCACUGCUCUCCUCCAGUAUAAGUAUUGCCUCCCUCUGGACCCUGACUCCAGAUCCUUGGAUGGCUGCAGCAAACAAGAAAAUCAAAUUAGCCACGUACCUGUCACCAUGUGGUGCUAAAUUCUUCCUUUUGAAUUCUUUCCUCUGUCAUUAGACUGUACAUCAUCACCUGUGAACAUCUAUACCUCUGUUGAUUCCAGAUUAAUGUUCUUAUCUCAAAUUAACAUGCCUACCUUUCCUAACAGAACUGAAAUCUCUAAAGACAGACCUGAUUCUUUUACUCUUCCCAACACCAAGCAACUAUACCAACUGUGUUCUCUUUGAAGGUAGUAGGCAUUUGUCUAGCAAAUCCUGUUACAUCAUGAAAUAUAUUAAACAGAAUCUCAGAAGGGCUUCCAUCCCUCUUUGAUAAAUUAUUGACAGCACAAAUACAACUUUGGAAAUAAGGUAGUUGGUUACUGUGAAGAUCACAUUUAUAUAUCAUCUCCUACCAUAGAGUCCUUUGAUGUCACUGGUGUUGGGCAGAUUUCCAUCUUCUAAAUAGCUAAUUAGUUGAUGCUAGGUGUGCAGCAAUCCAUGUGAUUGGAACUAUGCAUAACCAAAUUUUCCCUAAUAAACUGUAUUUAGAUCAAUUCUAUUAAUUAUUUUAAAAUAAUCAUUGUCUUCAAAAUCCCUUAGGAGUUCAUAAGACAAAACUUUUGAAGUUAUAUGAAUUUUCAGGAUGGCUUCAGGUAAGUUGACAAUUAAAAAGCAGGCCCAGCAAGUAAUAGGGUAUUUACAUAUAGGGGCAAUCACAGUUCAGGGAAACGUACAUUUUAUUUUAUACAUGCCAGUAGCUGUUAUGGUCGUGACACAGCUGCUAAAAAUUACAGGUUUUCAGUGGCAAGCCUCAGCCGUCACUAUAAUUAUUAUUAUUUCAUCAAAAACAAUCGCAGGGAGUAUUUUAGGCUGACAAAAGCCUUCUAGGUCUUUGUUUAUUCAGUGCACCGUAUAUUCUGCCCUCCAUGCCAACUGAGUUAAAGCUCUCUUCCUCCUGACUUAAAACCUAUUAUUAGAGCAAGCAGAGGUUCUGUCUUUAAUACGAAGUAGAACUGGAGAUGGCAAGAGCACUAUCACAGAAUAAAUGAAAGAAAGCACAACCUGAGAAGAUUAAUCUGUGGGUUUCCAACAUCAUCCCCACAAAGGGAUUGCGGUUUACUGAGUAGCAUCAACUCCAAAGGCAUAAAGCAACACACAGAUGCUGACCUGAAUGUAUUGACACUCAGAGACAGUAUCAACAACUCAAGGAGGCGAGAUCUGCUGGCUAAGCAGCAAAUUUGGAAAAAACUGCUCAUCUGGAAGCCUGGAUUUUUCUCUUCUGGUACCAUAUGGACAUUCUAAAUGACGUUUCUCAUCACAAUGGAGGAUCUCCUUGUCCUUUAAACUCUCCAACAAGGCUAUAGCAGUAUUCUUAAAAAAAAAAAAAAAAAAAAAAAAAAAAAAAAAAAAAAAAAAAAAAAAACCAGAGUUCUCAGUCAUAUAGUGUCCAAAGAAAUGACAAGGGAACAAAAAAACCACUUGCUGAAGUAUGACUUCAGGACAGAGCACCAGUCAGUGGAUGUUGAUUUAAAUAAUGAGUUUCUCCAAAAUGUAUGUGUCGAAGUCCUGGUCUCUAAUAUAUUGUUUAGAGAUGAGACUUUGGGGAAGUGAUUAGAUCAUAAGAUCUCUGACCUUGUCAGUGAUGUAACCUACUCAUGGAUGCAUAGUGUAAUGGCAUUGAUAGAAGGUGAUGCUAACCAGGAGGAAGGUCCUGGUUGGUGGAAAUGGGUCAGUUAAGGUGUGACUUUGAAGGAUGUACCUUGUCUAUGGCUCCUUCCUGUCUCAUUCUGCCUCCCAGAACAGAGAUGAACAGUUUUACUCCAGUACAAUCUCUGCACAGUGGUUCCCUGAUUCAUGUUAAGCUGAUGACCAGGGCCCACCCAGCCACACAACCAAAAUCCCUGAGCCGAGAGCCAAAACAAAUCCUGCUGCUUUCAGGGGUUCUGUUCCCCAGGCAUAUCAUCACAGCAACAUAAACACUUGACUAACACAGCUAAGGAUAGAUUAUGGAGGCAUUUCAAGCAGUCCAGGCUGUAGCCACAACUGCCAGCAAGCAUUUUAGAGUGUAUUACGGAUUGAUAUUGAAAUAGACAGUGUGCCUCAUGCCAGCACCAUGUUAGGAGAAUCACAUUUCAUUUUUGGCUGUUGAAUAAAAUAGGAAAGUAAAGGUUCUAAAAUUCCUAGCCCAUAUUUUACAGGAAAACUUUCAAUAUUUCUAUUAUGAGUAAAGUCAAGAGCUAAUGCUGAAGAUGGCAGUCUGGGAAGGCUGUGGUCUGAUCUAUAUGGUUUUAUAAUACGAAGCUGGAUGCCCCUAUUUUGCUCAAUAUUCAUGAAUGACAAGCCAUGUCUAAAGCCCUGCGAGACCUAUUGAAAUAUGAAGUUCCCUUUCCAUAUAAAUUAAGUAAAUUUUAGUAACACUUAGGUUCUUAAUGUUCUAUAAGUGUUUUAAGAUGAGCCUGCACUUGUUUGCCAAAGGCAGUACUCCAAAAUGAAUCAGCAGCCGCACUGUAUGUAGAAAUGCUCACAUUUGCCAAAGCUUAAACAACAUUGUUUUCAUUAGGUUAUGUUCAACUAUGUACAUUGUUACAUUUCAAGCCACAGUUUCCUGUCUUUCUGUGCUCCUUUUGAGGCUCCUGUACUUAAUAUCAUUACUACACUUUAAACAAACGGGAAGUUCUAUUUCUGGCUUAGUUGUUGUAUGAGUCAACAUUGAGCCCACUUAAAAAAAUCACGCACUUGCCAUGAGGUUGAGGGAAGACACUUCUUUAAAAAUAUAUCACAUUAUAGCUCCAUUAACAUUGAGAAUAUAAAGGGGGGGUCCAUUUUGAUUCACUGGUCUGCCUUCUCAACAGCAAACUGGAGGGCUAUUCUCUAAGGCCAUGCCUGAAUAUUUAACCUAUUCAAGUUUUCACAUUUUAUUUUCACAGUCCAGUGGCUAUACCACUAAUUUCCCCUGAAAAUUAACCUGUAGACCUCUCUCUAAAACAUUCUUCCUAUAAACUUGGAAUUAUUCAUGUCUUUGUUUUUCAACUUUAAGAUCCAUGGCAAGGCUUUGAAAAAUAAAAUCCACAAAAGGAGGCAUCCCCAGAAUUCUCUUCCUUCAGAGAAAUGAAUGCUCUAACAAAUAAGAAGUGCAGCAACAUUUCCAAAAGCACCAAUGAAAAGCAGACAAUGGGGACACCAACACCUCCAAAGUAAAACUAAAAUAGAAAAAUAUUUCAAAGAAAACAUAAACUCUGAAGACAUAUAGUCAACCAGGAGUUCAACUGUGUAUUACUCAAUUUAUAUAAAGAUGUAGCAAAUAUCCAAAGUGCCUGCAGAUAUAAAAUAGUUACUGCUGGCAGUUUGAUGAGGUUCAAACUCUGUGGAGAAGAAUUGCAAAGCCAAUUUGUUAUAUCAAGGUAAAUCUGAACUAAGUGCUCAAAUUUGCCCGGAGCAAAUGUAACAAAAACCAUCUCCUUAUUCCCUUUUUAUUCAGUAAGAAAAGACAUUGCACAUCAUUCCCCUACCUGGAGACACAGUUAACAUGCACAGACUUUCUUGGAACAAAAAAGUGACAAGCUCACAUCACAGCUGCCCCACAUUUACCUAAGUCGUAACCACGCACCCAGAGGAGAUAGAAUACCACCUCAGAGAAGGAGAAGAAUUCCAUUCAGGCAGCACAGGGAGGGGUCACUAAAAUGUGUGUGUUCUCCCCCUACCUUCCACAACAGCUUUAUGUCUCUGUUGAAAAUUAUCAGAGGAAAAGAAAAAUCUGUGAGAAAGGAGCAAUUAAAAAUGUUCAGCUUU